rnacentral:rRNA from 1 species
CCUACGGGAGGCAGCAGUGGGGAAUAUUGCACAAUGGGCGCAAGCCUGAUGCAGCCAUGCCGCGUGUGUGAAGAAGGCCUUCGGGUUGUAAAGCACUUUCAGCGGGGAGGAAGGCGUUAAGGUUAAUAACCUUGGCGAUUGACGUUACCCGCAGAAGAAGCACCGGCUAACUCCGUGCCAGCAGCCGCGGUAAUACGGAGGGUGCAAGCGUUAAUCGGAAUUACUGGGCGUAAAGCGCACGCAGGCGGUCUCUCAAGUCGGAUGUGAAAUCCCCGGGCUCAACCUGGGAACUGCAUUCGAAACUGGCAGGCUAGAGUCUUGUAGAGGGGGGUAGAAUUCCAGGUGUAGCGGUGAAAUGCGUAGAGAUCUGGAGGAAUACCGGUGGCGAAGGCGGCCCCCUGGACAAAGACUGACGCUCAGGUGCGAAAGCGUGGGGAGCAAACAGGAUUAGAUACCCCUGUAGUC